rnacentral:lncRNA from 1 species
AUAAAUAACCUUUCGCAAAAUAUCAUCCUGUGCACACCCGAUGUAUGCACCGAUAAUAUCCCACCAGGGUCUGAACUGCUCGUGAUAUCAAUGUUCCGCUAAGUGGCGCCAUACCACCCGCUUCCCAUGAAUCACUCUAUUCCUAAUCAUCCUAGAUUUUCACUCAUGGUCUGGGUAUUGGACCUUUUACCUCAACUGACUCCCCCCCCACACAGAGAAAAACAGACAGCCAGCCAGUAAUGAAUAAUGAAUAUGAAUGCAAACACCAAUGCACACAAUCAAUGCAAACAAUAAAUGUACAUAUAUAUA